AAAUUACCUUCAACUUCAUCGUCGGGAAUUUCUUGAGUCAAAGCUAUUUAUAUAUAUGGAAUAUCAAAGGAUUGAAAAAAGAGGACGGCGUGAUGACGGGAGUACCCGAGAAAAUUACGGGCGGCGGAGUUGUUGUUAAACUGGACUGGACUAUCUGCGGCAGCGGUUGUGAGUUGGAGUUGUUGGAUGAGUGAGAAGAUUGUUUGGGUCGUUUACCCUUCCGGCAGCCGCCGCCGACGGGGACGUUACGGAGAGUACCACCUUGAGUCCAGUACCUUCUACAAGUCUUGCAAAGAUAACGAGGCUGAGAUAAGCUGUAGUUAUUGUAAUAACAAAACUUUGUGUUGAGAGAAUCACAACGAGGGCAUUUUUGUGGCUGUGGCUGAGCUUGAUUUUGCGCUUGUAGAGCCUUCAAUCUCCGAUCUUGAUCAUCUCGCCCACGCUGCAUCUCCCAACCAAUCGAUUUGCAACAAAAAGGGGUUUUUGGGAUAUUAGAGAAAUACUAAAUGGAGAGCGUUUUAGGCUUCAAGAACUUCCCACUUCUCUGCAUGAAUCAGCUAGGGUUUGCUAACACAAGAUGGGGUUUUUAAUUUUAUUACGACAAAAAAAAAAAAAAAAAAAAAAAAAAA